rnacentral:rRNA from 1 species
AGCGUGGAUUAGGCAUGCAAGUCGGACGGGAUCCGGCGGAUAGCAAUAUUCGCUGGUGAGAGUGGCGGAUGGGGAGGAGCACGUGAGCAACCUGCCCUGGAGAUGUGGAAAACCUCGGGAAACUGAGGCUAAUACAGAAUGUGGCGCCCCGCGGCAUCGCGGGAGCGCCGAAGGGGGCCGCAAGGCUCCCGCUCCGGGAUGGGCUCGCGCACCAUCAGCUAGUUGGCGGGGUAACGGCCCACCAAGGCCUACGGUUAGCUGGUCUGAGAGGAUGACCAGCCCCACUGGGACUGAGAUACUGCCCAGACUCCUACGGGAGGCUGCAGUCGAGGAUCAUUCGCAAUGGGCGAAAGCCUGACGAUGCGACGCUGCGUGGAGGAUGAAGGCCUUCGGGUCGUAAACUCCUGUCAUGGGGGAAGAGGCGAGGGGGCCCAACACGUCCCUUAGUUGACUGUACCCCAAGGGGAAGCGACGGCUAACUCUGUGCCAGCCGCAGC